ACAUGGCUCCUUGUUUUCUUACAUAGGGAGUCGGACCUGCUCGGUGAAUAUAUUUUAACAGCCGCGGUACUCUGACCGUGCAAAGGUAGCAUAAUCAUUUGCCUUAUAAUUGAAGGCUAGUAUGAAUGGUUUGACGAGAAUUAAGCUGUCUCUUUUUAACUAAAUAUAACUUUAUUAAGAGGUGAAGAAGCCUGUAUUUUAUUGAAAGACAAGAAGACCCUAUCGAGCUUUAAAGAAUUUAGUAGAUUUACCAUAUAUUAAUAAAAAAGUAAAGCAACUAAAUAUUUUGGUUGGGGCGACUGAGGAACAAACAAAGCUUCCUUUAUGCUAAUUAAAACUUACAAGUAUUGAUCCAAUUUAUUUGAUUAAAGAAAUUAGUUACCGUAGGGAUAACAGCAUAAUCUCCUUUGAGAGUUCCCAUCGAAAAGGGGGUUUGUGACCUCGAUGUUGGACCAGAAUACCCAGAAGAUGCAGCCGUCUUCAAUGGUUGGUCUGUUCGACCAUUAAAAUUCUACAUGA
rnacentral:rRNA from 1 species